rnacentral:rRNA from 1 species
AAAAGCUUUUUUAAGGGCACACAGAGGAUGCCUUGAUAUGUAGUACCGAAGAAGGACGUGAUAGUCUGCGAUAAGCUUGGGGGAGCUGACAAUGAGUUUUGAUCCCAAGAUUUCCGAAUGGGGCAACCCACUCUGGGUCAUGCCAGAGUACUUCUGCCUGAAUAUAUAGGGUAGAUAGAGGGAACCGCGUGAACUGAAACAUCUUAUUAGCGCGAGGAAGAGAAAGUAAUCAACGAUUCCGUGAGUAGUGGCGAGCGAAAAUGGAAUAGCCCAAACCUUUUAGAUUUUUUGUUCAUCAAUUUUGAUGAUCAAAAUAAGUUGGUAGACGAAUAUCUAUAAGGGGUUGCAAGAUUAUACAAGAUCAAGCAAGAGUUCUUUGUUCUGUAAGGUUCAGAGAGUUCUUGUUUGUGAAGUUUACUGCCAAUUGAACUGUGAUAAAUAGACUUAGUUAAAAGAACAAGCUGGAAAGCUUGGCCGAAGAGAGUGAAAGCCUCGUAUUUGAAAAUUAAGUUUAGAAAUCAUCUGUAUUUUCUUAAGUAGGUCGGGACACGUGAAACCCUGACUGAAUCUAGGAGGACCACCUCCUAAGGCUAAAUAUACUACAUGAUCGAUAGUGAACGAGUACCGUGAGGGAAAGGUGAAAAGAACCCCGGGAGGGGAGUGAAAUAGAACCUGAAACUGUGUGCCUACAAGGAGUCGGAGCGGACUUGUUCCGUGACGGCGUGCUUUUUGUAGAACGAUCCAACGAGUUAUUCUAUAGUGCAGCUUAAGGUGUAUACCGGAGGCACAGCGAAAGCGAGUCUGAAUAGGGCGCAUGUACUAUGGAAUAGACCCGAAACCCGGUGACCUAACCAUGACCAGGCUGAAGUAUCGGUAAAACGAUGCGGAGGGCCGAACCAAUGUAGUGACUGCUUGGAUGAGUUGUGGUUAGCGGUGAAAUGCCAUUCGAACCGGGAGAUAGCUGGUUCUCCUCGAAAUAGCUUUAGGGCUAGCGUCGCGCGGUAGCAAUUGGGGGUAGAGCUCUGAAAAGAACUGAGGCUGGCAACGGUACUCACUCUUACCAAACUACGAAUACCAAUUGUGGAAUCGCGGCAGUUAGAACACGGGGGCUAAGCUCCGUGCUCGAAAGGGAAACAGCCCAGACCAUCGUCUAAGGUCCCUAAAUCAAUACUAAGUGGGAAACGAACUGAGGCUUCUUAAACAGCGAGGAUGUUGGCUUAGAAGCAGCCAUUCAUUUAAAGAGUGCGUAACAGCUCACUCGUCGAGAAGCCUUGGGCGGAAGAUGUAACGGGGCUAAAGUAUUGUACCGAAGACAUGGAUUGCAGUUUUUACUGCAGUGGUAGAGGAGCGUUGAUAGUGCGCUGAAGGUGAACUGUGAGGUUUGCUGGAGAGCUAUCAAGUGAGAAUGUUGGAAUAAGUAACUUCAAGAAAGGUGAGAAUCCUUUCCGCCGAAAGAGUAAGGUUUCCUGGGCAAUGGUAAUCAUCCCAGGGUUAGUCGGGCCUAAGCCGAGGCAGUUUAGCGUAGGCGAUGGACAACGGGUUAAUAUUCCCGUACCGGUAUAAAAUUUUUGAUAAAUUGCGGAGUGGUAGUUUGAGCGGAUUCAUGGUUAUAUCCGUUUAACUAGUUAGAUUUCGAUCGAGCUAGGAGUACGAGUUGUAGGCUUUCGAGCCCGCGACGAGUCAACAAGUCCAUUCUGCCCAGAAAAGUUUAUUAGAUUAUGUUUUAUGCCGCCCGUACCGUAAACCAUUAAAGGUACUCAGGUCGAGUAGACCAAGGCGUACGAGAGAAUCUUGGUUAAGGAACUCGGCAAUAUAGCGACCGUAACUUCGGGAUAAGGUCUGCCUAGCGUAAAAACUAGGUUGCAACAAAAGAGUCCAGGCGACUGUUUAUUUAAAACACAGGUCUCUGCUAACACGAAAGUGGAUGUAUAGGGGCUGACGCCUGCCCAGUGCUGGAAGGUUAAGGGGAAGACUUCACGGUCUGAACUGAAGCCCCAGUGAACGGCGGCCGUAACUAUAACGGUCCUAAGGUAGCGAAAUUCCUUGUCGGGUAAGUUCCGACCCGCACGAAUGGCGUAACGAUCUGGACACUGUCUCAACCAAGAUCUCGGUGAAAGUGCAUUGGCGGUAAAGAUGCCGUCUGUCCGCACCAGGACGAAAA